rnacentral:tRNA from 1 species
ACCUGGGUGGCUCAGUCGGUUAAGCAUCUGACUGUGGCUCAGGUCAUGAUCUCAGUUUGUGGGUUCAAGCCCCGCAUCGGGCU